rnacentral:rRNA from 1 species
UACGUAGGUGGCAAGCGUUGUCCGGAAUUAUUGGGCGUAAAGCGCACGUAGGCGGCUAUUCAAGUCAGAGGUGAAAGCCCAGGGCUCAACCCUGGAACUGCCUUUGAAACUAGAUAGCUAGAAUUCUGGAGAGGUCAGUGGAAUUCCUGGUGUAGCGGUGGAAUGCGUAGAGAUCAGGAAGAACACCCAUGGCGAAGGCAGCUCUCUGGGCCGGUACUGACGCUGAGACGCGAAAGCGCGGGGAGCGAACAGG